UAUAAGGAAUUUCUGACUCUUCUCACGGUUCAUAACUUGAGUAUCCAAUGUGUUGUUUCUCUCUUUGAAUGUAGCUUGAUUUUGGAACUCCUGGUGUAGAAAAACUCUGCAAAUAAGUGAAAAAUAUCGAAUGUAAUUAAAUGGCAUUUAAUACAAUUUUUAUUCUCAUUCAGAUAUGCUUAUGUUUAGUUAUUUUAGAAAUCUAUUUAAUCAUCUUUCUGUGCCUGGUUUAUUUCACUUAACAUAAUGAUAUCCAGUUCCAUGCAUGUUGUUGCAAAUGACAGGAUUUCAUUCUUUUUAUGGCUGAAUCGUACUUCAUUGUGUAUAGGUACCACCCAAAUGCACUACCGCAAAUACAAGACUGGUGUGUGGUAAGCAACUUUAACUAAAGUAUUGGGGAAAAGGUAGACAUAUUUCCAGAUAGCACCAAAUAGGAAAACAUUUAAAACUGAAUAUUGACAUCUUAAAGAUAACCUUUUACUGGCUGUUUUGUGCCCUAGGCCUCAGCCUACUACCCGUUUUGCCAGGUUCUGCUCCUCAUGCCAAGAGCUCUGACCUUACAUUUAACCCCUCUUCUCAGCCUCUUUCUCUAGACUGCACUCUGGAAAAAAAAAAAAAAAAGCUAAGUUCUUUUUUUAUUUGCAAAACAGUUUCAUUAUCAGCCCCUAUCCCAGACUAGCCCCCAGAUCCAUCUUGCGUUUCACAAAAGGUUACUGCUGGAUAACUUUUAUAAACAAAAAAAGUCUUUUGUCCCUGAUCUCCACCCUUAGCUAAGCAAAGAGACAGCAAAAACAAAGAGAGAGAUUUUCCCUUAAUUGAAAAUUUGCUGAUGAUAUCUGGAAAAGAAGAAAAUUCAAAUUCUUGAGUGUGCUUUUUUCCAAUUACAACAAACUCUAGAGGUAAUUUUCUGUCUACCUGUCAUAGAUAUUUUCUACAAUGAACAUGCAUUCUUUAAUAAAAUAUAAUACAGUAAAUAUUACUUUAAAAAGUAAUUGUUGCUUAUGGAUGAAUAUCUCUAAAGCACUUCAAGUUCUUAUUUCAGAACCUAUCCCACUUGUCAGCUCUGUUCCAGUCUGGCUCCUUGCUUUAAGGUCUCCUUCCCCUAACCUUUCCUUUUCUCUCCCUUUCUCUCUCUCUUCCUUCCUGUUUGAAUCUUACAGGGGUACCAAAAAAGCCUAUGAACUUAAAAGGGA
rnacentral:lncRNA from 10 species